AACGAACGCUGGCGGCGUGCCUAACACAUGCAAGUCGAACGGAGAUAAGAAGCUUGCUUCUUAUUUUAGUGGCGCACGGGUGAGUAACGCGUGGAUAAUCUACCUGAUGCUCUGGGAUAACAUCUCGAAAGGGGUGCUAAUACCGGAUAAGCCCACGAUCUCUUCGGAGAAUGCGGGAAAAGGAGGGGACCUUCGGGCCUUCCGACGUCAGAUGAGUCCGCGUCCCAUUAGCUAGUUGGCGGGGUAAUGGCCGACCAAGGCUACGAUGGGUAGCGGGUCUGAGAGGAUGAUCAGCCACACUGGAACUGAGACACGGUCCAGACUCCUACGGGAGGCAGCAGUGGGGAAUUUUGCGCAAUGGGGGAAACCCUGACGCAGCAACGCCGCGUGAGUGAUGAAGGCUUUCGGGUCGUAAAGCUCUGUCAGAAGGGAAGAAAUGUAGGUGGCUAAUAUCCAUUCUACUUGACGGUACCUUCAAAGGAAGCACCGGCUAACUCCGUGCCAGCCGCCGCCGUAA
rnacentral:rRNA from 1 species